UACAGAGGUGGCAAGCGUUGUUCGGAAUUACUGGGCGUAAAGGGCGCGUAGGCGGCUCGUCAAGUCCCGUGUGAAAGCCCCCGGCUCAACCGGGGAACUGCACGGGAAACUAGCAGGCUUGAGUUCGGGAGAGGGAAGCGGAAUUUCGGGUGUAGCGGUGAAAUGCGCAGAUAUCCGAAGGAACACCGGCGGCGAAGGCGGCUUCCUGGACCGACACUGACGCUGAGGCGCGAAAGCUGGGGGAGCAAACGGG
rnacentral:rRNA from 1 species